GCGGCGUGCUUACCAUGCAAGUCGAACGAACCUUCGGGUUAGUGGCGGACGGGUGAGUAACGUUUGAGAAUCUGCCCUCAGGAGGGGGACAACAGCUGGACUUGGCUGCUAAUACCCCAUAUGCCGCGAGGUGAAAUGAAUUUCGCCUGAGGAUGAGCUCGCGUCUGAUUAGCUAGUUGGUGGGGUAAGAGCCUACCAAGGCAUCGAUCAGUAGCUGGUCUGAGAGGAUGAUCAGCCACACUGGGACUGAGACACGGCCCAGACUCCUACGGGAGGCAGCAGUGGGGAAUUUUCCGCAAUGGGCGAAAGCCUGACGGAGCAACGCCGCGUGAGGGAUGAAGGCCUCUGGGCUGUAAACCUCUUUUCUCAAGGAAGAAGAUCUGACGGUACUUGAGGAAUAAGCCACGGCUAAUUCCGUGCCAGCAGCCGCGGUAAUACGGGAGUGGCAAGCGUUAUCCGGAAUUAUUGGGCGUAAAGCGUCCGCAGGCGGCCCUUCAAGUCUGCUGUUAAAAAGUGGAGCUUAACUCCAUCGUGGCAGUGGAAACUGUUGGGCUAGAGUGUGGUAGGGGCAGAGGGAAUUCCCGGUGUAGCGGUGAAAUGCGUAGAUAUCGGGAAGAACACCAGUGGCGAAGGCGCUCUGCUGGGCCAUAACUGACGCUCAUGGACGAAAGCCAGGGGAGCGAAAGGGAUUAGAUACCCCUGUAGUCCUGGCCGUAAACGAUGAACACUAGGUGUCGGGGGAAUCGACCCCCUCGGUGUCGUAGCCAACGCGUUAAGUGUUCCGCCUGGGGAGUACGCACGCAAGUGUGAAACUCAAAGGAAUUGACGGGGGCCCGCACCAGCGGUGGAGUAUGUGGUUUAAUUUCAUGCACCGCGAAGAACCUUUCCAAGGUUUGACAUUCUGCCAAUCUUCGGAAAACGGAAAGUGCCUUCGGGACCCAAUGACAGGUGGUGGCUGGCUGUCCCCACUCCUGUCCGGAAAUGUGGGUUAAUCCCCCAACAGGCCCACCCACGCUUUAGUGCCCCCUUUCGUUGGGCCCUCUGAAGAACGCCGGGAAACCCGAAGAAGGGGGGAUGACUAAGUUUUCUCCCCCUUA
rnacentral:rRNA from 1 species